rnacentral:lncRNA from 1 species
CAGAAACAUGGAGGGCCAGUGCUGAUCGGAAUGCACAAAAAGGCUGAAACACAAAAUCUGAGGCUUGUGGAAAAAGCCUCUUUCUCUAUCAGAUUUACAGCUGGAAAUCAUCUCCUGAAUUUCUUCACCUAAGCCAAUCCAACUGCAUUCAUAUGAAGUACAGAUAAGGAAAGGACCUAUGUGAUGUCUGGUUUCUUAAGUGUUAUCUGGCUCCAGGUGAAGUAUGAAUCAGUGUUUGGAGGAGUUCUAUAAGAUCAAAUCUGUGACAGCUGCAGGCUUGCUCAUCUCAAGACCCUCAGACCACUUCAUAACCAAGGAUACAUUAGUGGAGCAUCCUGAAUAAUCUUAUGUCUUUCCGGAAGUCAUUCUCAGCUGGAUUUUGGCAUAAGACUUGUUGUUGCACCUGCUCUGCAUUAAAAACUCAAACUCUACAAGCAAGCAUUCCAGAACCAGACAUGAAUAUAACUCGGAACUAAAAUGAACAUUCUGCUCCACUAACUUUCAUCCAUGGAUGAUGCCCUUUGUUUUUGAACACUGCCUUUAAUAGCUCCUGUUAAGGACGAAGCAGGUUUGAGUUUAGCUGUUACUGGAUCUUCGAACUAAAGGCUGUCAAGUUACCUGUUUGGAAACAGUUGGGCUUUUCAUUGACGUUGCUUUCUUGAAAAGUGCUUUCAGAGCUGUUUUCCACUCCAAAAAUGAAGAAGUAAAAUGUGGAAACAAAACGCUGGAGGACAACAUAAAACUCAGCAAGCUGUAAGUGGGUUCACAGGGUUUACUUCAUCACAUGCUCCAGACCAAGUGCUGCAGCACUGUGUUGCACUUGGCUUUAAGUUUGCAGUAGAGGGAACAAAGUGAUGCACUGAGAAAGAUUUCUGGACUGUGAGUGCUCAUGUUCUUAAUCAGAUUACACUUUAUCAACUUACCCCUUCUCAUUAAUCCACAGUAAAAGUCAUGUGUACUCUUAACCUGUCCCAGCUCUGAAACAAAACAUCAUCUGAGGCUCUACAUCAGUGUCUGUUUUAAUGCUAGGCAAUUGCUUAAGGCAAUUUACUCAGUGUUAAGGAGGUACAGCUUAGAAGUGUGUUUCUUGUGAGAUACUGCAGAACUUCCGAGAAAUGUUAACCACGUACACCAAAUGAUUAACUGAGUAAUGCAGAACUCGGGGUAGUUUCAGCUUGCAGAUUCAAACUCAAGUGUUACGGGAACGCAUGCAAAUGUCUGCAUGGGAAAUGGUUGUGUAAGAUCUCGUUUCAUUUAGCAGUACAGUCAGUGAAAUUAAGAGCACUGUUCGUCACAGAAGCUAGCAGGGAAGCAAUAGGGCAAUGGAAAACAAUGGGACCCUCCUGAGCAUCAAAAAUGAAGUUUCUGCAUAUUGAAGCUCAAGAUUUCCACAGACGAUGACACCAGUUUUCACACUGUCCCACACGUUGCUCCCUAUAUAUGGGCACACACAUUUUCAAAAUGAAUUUGGGCCUGAAGGAAAAAUUCCCUUAACACAAAGCAUUUAUUCCAACUGAAAAUACCAUAGGGUUCUCUUGUCUGAUCUCCACCUGAAGUAUGAGAAAUGCAUAGCUCUCCUCUGGUUCCUGUGCCAUGUCUGACAGCCCAGCUUGGAUGAAAUGAUGUUUAAAGCCAGUGCUAAGCGCUGAGUAAGGUAGCAAUAACCAUUAAGGUUAUCCCUUUCCAAAUUCUCAAAGAUUUCUUUCCCUUUCAGAGAUUGUUGUCCAGUGUCACUUAUGAGAGGGCUUUCUGAGCUGCAAUUUAAAGCCUUCGUAGCCAGUCAUUCAAAUACAAGACCAUCGCCUAAAAGGACUUGCAACUCAUGAGCAGCUGGGGAUCAGCACCUGCAAAGAUAGAACAAUAUACACAGCUGGAGUUUUGACUGAACAGGGCAAAAUAAGCUGUGUUUUUGCAGGAAAAAGUCAUUUGAGCAUCCCUGAGGUAUUUGAUUUGUAACCAAAGAAGUUCCAGCAAUGUAUGUAUUGAAGAUAACUCACAUAACUGACUGAGGAUAUUCAUACUUUUCCUGGUAUUUCCCUAAGAAUUCUCCAGUAAUUUCAUCAGAAGGGAAUCCAUGACAUCUUUAAAUAACAGCAGAUGUGCUUUCUGGUGACUUUCUCAAGAUAUUCAAAGUAAGUUCAAAGCCCAUUUUGUGCUGCACACAUCUGUAUAAUGACAGACACCUAAGGACAUCUGCACCGGACUGAAGGAUGUGACACGAGACCAACAGGAAACACAUGAUCAUCUAACUUUGUAACUGGAGACCUAGUGGGAUAACUUUGGUCAUCUAAAAUGUAAUUAGAUUUCUAUGACAAGACAGAUGAGUCAUUUCUGAGUAGAUGAAAACAUUGUUAUAGCUUGUGUUUUGUAGAUGGAGAGAAAAGGCCAAGGGAAAUGCCACAUCCAGCACAAGUAAUGAAUUUUCUGGUAAAGUCAGGUGUCAAAAGCAGAGCACUGGAGUCUCUCAGUUGUGGUUUGGCCAAGGUUUUGAGGCUGAAUUGUGUAUCCCAAACACAAAAAUUUGUACCCAGCUCACUGGCAAGAGAACCUCACUUCUACUCAGAAAAAAAGGGUCGUGUUCAGUCUGGUUCUGUAAGUGCCUUAUGCCUCACCAUUGCUUCCUCUGUUAGUUGUGCAGGGAUCAGAGUGAGGGAAAUUGAUCAUGAGAUAAAGCCAAGAAUCCCCUUCCAAAAUCUAAGAUAGUAAGACAGGUGCCUAAAUUUACCUUCAGUACCACAGUAAGUGGUCUGAAAAAGUAUUACUGCUCACAGCUUGACUAAAAUAUCCUACAUAAAUCUUGAUUAUCCCCUUUAUGGUGAAGUUCAUGUGGGUCACUAUGAUUUUGGGGCUAGCAAUUAACUUUCCUUAUACUAUUCCCUGUAAUUAGAAUCAUAUCUGGAAACAGUGUUGCCAGGGUAAUUGCAAAGGCAUUUGUAGGCGUUUUAAUAGGGACCACUGUGUAAAACUUUCCCCUGUUGCUGAUUUUGGCAUCCUGACCUAUGUUUUCUCAUGUUCUUUAUAAAAAGAGCUGUUCUAAAUGUUUUGCUGGCUGCCUUGCCUCCCUUUCCUGACCUCUUUCUUAUUAAAAGCUAUAGCAAGAAGUCAGUCAUUAAAAGUUGAUCUGUCUGUCUUGAUGAGACUCAGUUCUUAACACAAAUUUCCUAGGGUAUCUGCAUAAUAGUUAUAUAAGGUAUUAACCACCCAGAUAAACACUACCUAUGAGGAAUGAUGUGCAAUUGUGACUUAUUUUCUAUUUAGUAUCUGUGGUUUUAAUAGAUGUAAGAACAAACAGAUAUGGUGCAAUAGAGAAUGCAGUAAAUUGAGAAUAAAAUGUAUAUAUAUACUUCAAAUGCAUCUUGAUGAUGAAGUCUCAAACAGAGCUGUUCUCAAAAGGUAUCAGUAGCCAUCAUACGAACACACCAUUCCCCCUCCUCUCCCAUCAGUCCUAAACUUACUCCAGGGCAAUAGUGCUGACUUCCCAACUAAAUAGGGCAUCCUACCAGCUAUCCAGAAAGACUUGUGAUUU